GAUCCUGGCUCAGAUUGAACGCUGGCGGCAGGCCUAACACAUGCAAGUCGAACGGUAACAGAAAGCAGCUUGCUGCUUUGCUGACGAGUGGCGGACGGGUGAGUAAUGUCUGGGAAACUGCCCGGUGGAGGGGGAUAACUACUGGAAACGGUAGCUAAUACCGCAUAACGUCGCAAGACCAAAGAGGGGGACCUUAGGGCCUCUUGCCAUCGGAUGUGCCCAGAUGGGAUUAGCUAGUAGGUGGGGUAAAGG
rnacentral:rRNA from 1 species